CUCUUAUUAAGAGCGGCGGAGGGACUGGCCCUAUGAAGCCCGGCAACCUUUCAGAUUUAUGAAAAGGUGCUAAUUCCAGCAAGAUUUUCCAAUGCGGAGUCUUGAAAAAUAAGAG
rnacentral:ncRNA from 2 species